rnacentral:rRNA from 1 species
AUGAACGCUGGCGGCGUGCCUAAUACAUGCAAGUCGCGCGAACGGACGAGAAGCUUGCUUCUCUGAUGUUAGCGGCGGACGGGUGAGUAACACGUGGAUAACCUACCUAUAAGACUGGGAUAACUUCGGGAAACCGGAGCUAAUACCGGAUAAUAUUUUGAACCGCAUGGUUCAAAAGUGAAAGCCGGUCUUGCUGUCACUUAUAGAUGGAUCCGCGCUGCAUUAGCUAGUUGGUAAGGUAACGGCUUACCAAGGCAACGAUGCAUAGCCGACCUGAGUGGGUGGUCGGCCACACUGGAACUGAGACACGGUCCAGACUCCUACGGGAGGCAGCAGUAGGGAAUCUUCCGCAAUGGGCGAAAGCCUGACGGAGCAACGCCGCGUGAGUGAUGAAGGUCUUCGGAUCGUAAAACUCUGUUAUUAGGGAAGAACAUAUGUGUAAGUAACUGUGCACAUCUUGACGGUACCUAAUCAGAAAGCCACGGCUAACUACGUG